rnacentral:rRNA from 1 species
GACGAACCGAGCGAACGUUAUUCGGAAUCACUGGGCUUAAAGGGCGCGUAGGCGGGCCAUCAAGUCAGGGGUGAAAGCCCCCAGCUCAACUGGGGAAGUGCCUUUGAUACUGGUGGUCUCGAGGGGGAUAGGGGCAUGCGGAACUUCCGGUGGAGCGGUGAAAUGCGUAGAUAUCGGAAGGAACACCGGUGGCGAAAGCGGCGUGCUGGAUCCCUUCUGACGCUGAGGCGCGAAAGCCAGGGGAGCGGAACGGG